rnacentral:rRNA from 1 species
UACGGAGGGUGCGAGCGUUGUCCGGAAUCAUUGGGCGUAAAGGGCGCGUAGGUGGCCCGGUCAGUUCGUGGUGAAAGCGCGGGGCUCAACCCUGCGUCGGCCAUGAAUACUGCCGCGGCUGGAGCACUGUAGAGGCAGGCGGAAUUCCGGGUGUAGCGGUGGAAUGCGUAGAUAUCAGGAGGAACACCGGUGGUGUAAACGGCUCUCUGGACCGUAACUGACGCUGAGACACGAAAGCGUGGGUAGCAAACAGG